rnacentral:rRNA from 1 species
UUGAACGCUGGCGGCAGGCCUAACACAUGCCAGUCGAACGGUAACAGGAAGAAGCUUGCUUCUUUGCUGACGAGUGGCGGACGGGUGAGUAAUGUCUGGGAAACUGCCUGAUGGAGGGGGAUAACUACUGGAAACGGUAGCUAAUACCGCAUAACGUCGCAAGACCAAAAAGGGGGACCUUCGGGCCUCUUGCCAUCGGAUGUGCCCAGAUGGGAUUAGCUAGUAGGUGGGGUAACGGCUCACCUAGGCGACGAUCCCUAGCUGGUCUGAGAGGAUGACCAGCCACACUGGAACUGAGACACGGUCCAGACUCCUACGGGAGGCAGCAGUGGGGAAUAUUGCACAAUGGGCGCAAGCCUGAUGCAGCCAUGCCGCGUGUAUGAUGAAGGCCUUCGGGUUGUAAAGUACUUUCAGCGGGGAGGAAGGGAGUAAAGUUAAUACCUUUGCUCAUUGACGUUACCCGCAGAAGAAGCACCGGCUAACUCCGUG